CUACCAAUCAAUAUCGUUCUAGGUAUUCGUCACUUGGACCUCGUGGAAUCUUCAGAUAGCCAAAACCGGCAUCUCAAAGCGGGUCACUUAAACCUCCAUUCCCUCACCAAAACCCUUAUUGACUUAGCAGUAUUACAAGUCUAUCUUUCUUUAUAUCCAAAUAAAUAAGUGGCAGCUGAAUUUUUAGAGGGUUCUAACAAAGGGUUUCGAUUACAAAACCAGCGCCCUAGAGUCCAAACUUCAGUCAAACUUUAAUUUCCGUUAGGCAAAACUCUGCUGUAGCUAAUGAGAAAGUUACUAGUAUGUAGGAAGAGCAGUUAAGCAGAAUUGCGGAUUAUACACCAUCUUUCCUUCCCGAAGUGAACCCCGCAGGGUUCAAGUUUGAAUGAUUUUAUUGAUAUGUCUUCUUCCUCAGUUCAGUACACUUCUUUAGACAGAGUGACGGAGCUAUUGUUUCAUUAGUGCAAUAUUGCGAAAUGGCUAAAGUUGGCAUCAAAUCUGCCUUUCGCCUUUUGAGGUUCAUAAUUAUGGUUUUGAAAUUAUUAGCCUUCAAAUUAGGAGGGGAUUAUUUUACUGACAAGACGUUACCUAUGAGCGUGCAAUCUUUUGCUGCCACUGGGAAAAGUUUGCUAAUUUAUUACAAUAGCUGGUCCGGUACAAGAGGAAAUCCAAAAGGCUGUUUUAUUACUUGGAUAAUUAUGUUUGUUUGGCUCGCUCUAAUUCAGGGAAUGUAUGACCAAUUUGUUCUGUUUUAUAGAUAAAUGCCUUAACAUACCCGUAGCAAAAAACAAAACAAAAAAAAAACAA